rnacentral:rRNA from 1 species
AGCGAACGCUGGCGGCAGGCCUAACACAUGCAAGUCGAACGAACUCUUCGGAGUUAGUGGCGGACGGGUGAGUAACACGUGGGAACGUGCCUUUUGGUUCGGAAUAACUCAGGGAAACUUGUGCUAAUACCGAAUGUGCCCUUCGGGGGAAAGAUUUAUCGCCAUUAGAGCGGCCCGCGUCUGAUUAGCUAGUUGGUGAGGUAACGGCUCACCAAGGCGACGAUCAGUAGCUGGUCUGAGAGGAUGACCAGCCACACUGGGACUGAGACACGGCCCAGACUCCUACGGGAGGCAGCAGUGGGGAAUCUUGCGCAAUGGGCGAAAGCCCGACGCAGCCAUGCCGCGUGAAUGAUGAAGGUCUUAGGAUUGUAAAAUUCUUUCACCGGGGACGAUAAUGACGGUACUCGGAGAAGAAGCCCCGGCUAACUUCGUG